GUUAGGAGCACCACAGGACACCGGAGGACACAGAGGCACAUGAUUUUUCUCAGCAGCCGUUUGCUGAAUCUCAUGUUCCUCUGGAAAAAUACAGCAGAGGGAAAAAAAAAAAGACAGAGGAACGAGGAAAAACGGAAACAUUUUCAGAAACUCGACACAGCUUUCAUCUCGUUCCCUCUGUUUUGUCUUCAUUUCGCUAUUCAGUGUGCACCCACAAAAUGCCAUGUGAUUGCAACAAUGAAUAAAUACAGCGUUAUUUUUACUUUG